rnacentral:rRNA from 1 species
CCUACGGGGGGCUGCAGUGGGGAAUUUUGGACAAUGGGGGCAACCCUGAUCCAGCCAUGCCGCGUGAGUGAAGAAGGCCUUCGGGUUGUAAAGCUCUUUCAGGUGGAAAGAAAUCGCAUCUUUUAAUACAGGGUGUGGAUGACGGUACCAUCAGAAGAAGCACCGGCUAACUACGUGCCAGCAGCCGCGGUAAUACGUAGGGUGCGAGCGGUAAUCGGAAUUACUGGGGGGGAAGCGUGCGCCAGAGGUUAAAUCGCCGGGCUCAACCUGGGAACUGCGUUUGUGACUGCAUAACUAGAGUACGGCAGAGGGAGGUGGAAUUCCGCGUGUAGCAGUGAAAUGCGUAGAGAUGCGGAGGAACACCGAUGGCGAAGGCAGCCUCCUGGGCCAGUACUGACGCUCAUGCACGAAAGCGUGGGGAGCAAACAGGAUUAGAUACCCGGGUAGUC